GUUAGUUUGGAGAUAAUAUUUUAAGUUUAUAAUCAUGUGCAUAUGCAUGUUUUAUAAUAUGCCAAUUUGAAGUUGUCUUGACAACGCUGGGGAACACUUAUAUAAUGAGACGCCAUUACACUUGUGUCACAUAUUAAAAAUAUCAAUUUAAACGUUAUUACGUAAAUACGUUUUUGUAGUAUUUGUACACAUUAAGUAAAUCUUUAUCAUUGUUAGUAUUGGUAACACUUUCACGCAGUGAUUACUAAUAGUUAUAAAUAUCAUCAACAGAUAACACUACAUUAUUGUUCAUUCUGCUAUCUGUGGCAGAAAUCAAAAACAAGUGUUUAAGCAAUUCGUGGGAGCUGAAGGUUUUCAGGUGGUGUUAGUUCUCAGCCAUCAGGAACAAUUUCUUGGAAAUCUUAAUUGAAUAAGUUUCCGCCAAGAUGCCGACGAACGUGACACCCGCCCCGGAGAACGGCGCUCCCCGUUCAGAACUUCAGGAACUCCAGCUUAAAGCAGGCCAGGUUACAGACGAGGUGAGUAAUCGUGUCACCC